UUGAACUGUAAGCUAGUUUGAGAAAUAAUGAAUAUUUUGGCAAAUUCUCCAUUGUUGAUCGUUUUGGUUCAGUUACACGUAAGAAAGUUUCCUGGAGCCAGUUUAUAAGCCUGAUAAUUUUGAAUUACAACCAAUAUAAUAUAGGCGGAAAAGACAAAUUUACUUUAAAUACUUGUUACUUAUUAUUGUAGAGGAUAUCAUAUUUGUUUAAUUUUAAGAUUUUAAGAUCAAGAUUUUCGAAAUUUAUUCCGAGGAAAAGGAAGUUCGCCGUAGUCACUUGAUUAAAAAUAUUAAUCACUUGAUUAAAUAAAUUAAUUAAUAUAAAGGACUGAAUUUAGAUGAGCGAGGUGACCAUUUAGUUGCACCCCUUCCGUCCAUCGAGUGUCAUCUUUUGUGUCUCCGUCUUCUCCAUAGUCAGACCAGUAACGACAAUUGUGACGAUUCAUUAAACCAUUCUGGAACAAAGUACACUUGUUCGCAAAUCAAUCGAAUUUUAAAUUUUUCGUCAAACUUAUUGUUGGUAGGUAUUUCACAGCCCCAUAAUUUUCUAAACGGGUGGGCCGAUUUUUAAAAACUAAGUACCAAUGUAUCGGGAAAUAAAAUUCCUUUUUAAUGACUGAAAAAAUAAUUUUUAAACCAA